UACGUAGGGGGCAAGCGUUAUCCGGAAUGAUUGGGCGUAAAGGGUGCGUAGGCGGCAUAACAAGUCAUAUGUCAAAAGCUGUGGCUCAACUGUAGUAAGACAUAAGAAACUGUUAAGCUAGAGUACAGGAGAGGCAAGCGGAAUUCCUAGUGUAGCGGUGAAAUGCGCAGAUAUUAGGAAGAACACCAGUGGCGAAGGCGGCUUGCUGGACUGAAACAGACGCUGAGGCACGAAAGCGUGGGUAGCGAAC
rnacentral:rRNA from 1 species